AAGAUUUUAAUAGAUGUGCAAUAUGUGUGUGUUCCCUCCGACUCUGAAAGUUUGCCGAAAGUUUGAGAUGAUCAUGAUUCCAAAAACAAUGCGAGAAAACUUCAGAUCAGGUGUCAGAUCUACGAUGGAAAUGUGACACAUUAGCUGAGUUAUCACCAUGCCUGAAACAAUUUCUGAAAGGAUUGGAAGGUGACUGACACUGUGCAU